UCGAGGGGAAACGGCAUUGAGUGCUUGCACUCUUUGGACGUCGACCGGCGCACGGGUGAGUAACGCGUAUCCAACCUUCCCAUUACUGUGGGAUAACCUGCCGAAAGGCAGACUAAUACCGCAUAGUCUUCGAUGACGGCAUCAGAUUUGAAGUAAAGAUUUAUCGGUAAUGGAUGGGGAUGCGUCUGAUUAGCUUGUUGGCGGGGUAACGGCCCACCAAGGCAACGAUCAGUAGGGGUUCUGUGAGGAAGGUCCCCCACAUUGGAACUGAGACACGGUCCAAACUCCUACGGGAGGCAGCAGUGAGGAAUAUUGGUCAAUGGACGGAAGUCUGAACCAGCCAAGUAGCGUGCAGGAUGACGGCCCUAUGGGUUGUAAACUGCUUUUGUAUGGGGAUAAAGUUAGGGACGUGUCCCUAUUUGCAGGUACCAUACGAAUAAGGACCGGCUAAUUCCGUGCCAGCAGCCGCGGUAAUACGGAAGGUCCUGGCGUUAUCCGGAUUUAUUGGGUUUAAAGGGAGCGUAGGCUGGAGAUUAAGUGUGUUGUGAAAUGUAGACGCUCAACGUCUGAAUUGCAGCGCAUACUGGUUUCCUUGAGUACGCACAACGUUGGCGGAAUUCGUCGUGUAGCGGUGAAAUGCUUAGAUAUGACGAAGAACUCCGAUUGCGAAGGCAGCUGACGGGAGCGCAACUGACGCUUAAGCUCGAAGGUGCGGGUAUCAAACAGGAUUAGAUACCCUGGUAGUCCGCACAGUAAACGAUGGAUGCCCGCUGUUGGUACCUGGUAUCAGCGGCUAAGCGAAAGCAUUAAGCAUCCC
rnacentral:rRNA from 1 species